rnacentral:rRNA from 1 species
GACAGAGGUCCCAGGCGUUAGGCGGAAUCACUGGGCUUAAAGCGUGUGUAGGCGGACUUCUAAGUACCUUGUGAAAUCCCACGGCUCAACCGUGGAACUGCUUGGUAUACUGGUUGUCUUGGGCCAUCUAGGGGCUAGCGGAACAAACGGUGGAGCGGUGAAAUGCGUAGAUAUCGUUUGGAACGCCAAUGGUGAAAACAGCUAGCUGGGGAUGUGCCGACGCUGUGACACGAAAGCCAGGGGAGCGAACGGG